rnacentral:rRNA from 1 species
UAGGGAAUCUUCGGCAAUGGACGAAAGUCUGACCGAGCAACGCCGCGUGAGUGAAGAAGGUUUUCGGAUCGUAAAACUCUGUUGUUAGAGAAGAACAAGGACGUUAGUAACUGAACGUCCCCUGACGGUAUCUAACCAGAAAGCCACGGCUAACUACGUGCCAGCAGCCGCGGUAAUACGUAGGUGGCAAGCGUUGUCCGGAUUUAUUGGGCGUAAAGCGGGCGCAGGCGGUUUCUUAAGUCUGAUGUGAAAGCCCCCGGCUCAACCGGGGAGGGUCAUUGGAAACUGGGAGACUUGAGUGCAGAAGAGGAGAGUGGAAUUCCAUGUGUAGCGGUGAAAUGCGUAGAUAUAUGGAGGAACACCAGUGGCGAAGGCGGCUCUCUGGUCUGUAACUGACGCUGAGGCUCGAAAGCGUGGGGAGCAAACAGG